rnacentral:rRNA from 1 species
AUUGAACGCUGGCGGCAUGCUUUACACAUGCAAGUCGAACGGGCUGUUGGGGCAACCUGGCAGUCAGUGGCGGACGGGUGAGUAAUGCAUCGGAACGUGUCCCGUAGUGGGGGAUAACCCGGCGAAAGCCGGACUAAUACCGCAUAUGCUCUACGGAGGAAAGCGGGGGACCUGAAAGGGCCUCGCGCUAUGGGAGCGGCCGAUGUCCGAUUAGCUUGUUGGUGGGGUAAUGGCCUACCAAGGCGACGAUCGGUAGCUGGUCUGAGAGGAUGAUCAGCCACACUGGGACUGAGACACGGCCCAGACUCCUACGGGAGGCAGCAGUGGGGAAUAUUGGACAAUGGGGGCAACCCUGAUCCAGCCAUGCCGCGUGCGGGAAGAAGGCCUUCGGGUUGUAAACCGCUUUUAGUCGGGAAGAAAGGCACGGGUGAAUACCCCGUGUUCUUGACGGUACCGGCGGAAUAAGCACCGGCUAACUACGUGC